rnacentral:rRNA from 1 species
UACGGAGGGUGCAAGCGUUGCUCGGAAUCACUGGGCGUAAAGCGUACGCAGGCGGCUCGAUAAGUCGGGUGUGAAAGCCCGGGGCUCAACCCCGGAAUUGCGCACGAUACUGCCGAGCUUGAGUACGGGAGAGGGAUAGCGGAAUUCCUGGUGUAGAGGUGAAAUUCGUAGAUAUCAGGAGGAACAACAGUGGCGAAAGCGGCUGCCUGGCCCGAUACUGACGCUCAUGUACUAAAGCGUGGGGAGCAAACAGG